rnacentral:lncRNA from 1 species
CGAGCAGGCAAGGUCGGUAACAGGCAGUAGCAAACAAUCAAAGCAGACAAGGAUCAGGCAGGCUCAGAGUCGGAGGUCAGAACGAGAAACAUGAUACACAUCAAGCCUAAACUAGGAACGCUGGAAAGUGGUGAUCUCACGCAACAAUCUGGCAACUGGAGUCUGUGAGGGGUGAAUGCUAUAUACCGGUGUUGAUUAGUAAACUGCUAACAGGUGUGCUGAGUGAUCCGGGGACUGAACAGAGAAACAGGAAGUAUACAAAAUAAAACAGGAAUUCCCUUCAGUGUGAAGGGCGUGUGACAAGCCCGGACGUGACAGUAUUCUGGCAUCAGAACAUGACCAUUGGAAGCUGUUCUGAAGGAAACCAAUGCAGAAACACUAAAACAUUGUUUUUCAGCGUUUCAGGCUAUUAAGAAAACGAGUUUAAACUACGCCAUAUGCAACUAUGCUUUUAGGGUGUAUUGAGCUGUUUGACAGUAUUCUGGCAUCAGAACAUGACAGUUAGAGGCUGUUCUGAAGGAAACCAAUUCAUAAACACUAAAACAUAGUUUUUUAACUUUUCAGGUCAUAAGAACACUAGUUUAAACCACGGCAUAUGCAACUGUGCUUUUAGGGUGUAUUGACCUGUUUUAAAGUUGCCUGGCAUCAGAACAUGACCAUCUUAAGCUGUAAUGUUAGAAACCAAUGCAUAAACACUAAAACAUUGUUUUUGAGCUUUUCAGGUCAUAAGAACACUAGUUUAAACCACGGCAUAUGCAACUGUACAUUUAGGAUGCAUUGAGCUGUUUGACAGUAUUCUGGCAUCAGAACAUGACCAUUAGAGGCUGUUCAGGUGGAAAACAAUGCAAAAACACUAAAACAUCUUUUUUGAGAUUUUCAGGCCAUAAGAAACAGCUAACUAUAAAUGUGACUAUUUUUUCUUUUUAUACAGGCUGACGCAUGCCAGCUACUGAAACGCGAGGAGGUUGCUUCUCAAACUGACACGCCACUGCAGGCUGUGGACACAUGGCUACCUUGUAGAAGAGUUGUUGCUCACCUCAGGAGCAAAGAGUGGUGUCAAGGAAAACAGCUACAGGUACAUCCUCCAUCUGCACAGCAGCUGCACUGCUCCCGAUGGCUUUUAAAACAUGAAGACAACAAAGAUGCUCACAUCUCCAUAGCCAACUGCCCAUGACUGUACCUGUUCCACUCCAGAAACUAUGCUUUCAACAUGACUAUGAAUCCUACCCAUUCACUUUGUAGUCUGCACAUUGAACUGUGAAGGUAACUUAUCCAGCAUUAUAUGCUGGUGCAUUGGUUGACAAUAAAGUUGGCUUUGACUAUUGCUGUUUCA